AUACGUAGGUGGCGAGCGUUGUCCGGAUUUACUGGGUGUAAAGGGCGAGUAGGCGGGCUUGCAAGUCAGAUGUGAAAUACCGAGGCUCAACUUCGGGGCUGCAUUUGAAACUGCGAGUCUUGAGUGAUGGAGAGGCAGGCGGAAUUCCCAGUGUAGCGGUAAAAUGCAUAGAUAUUGGGAAGAACACCAGUGGCGAAGGCGGCCUGCUGGACAUUAACUGACGCUGAGGAGCGAAAGUGUGGGGAGCAAACAGGAUUAGAUACCCUGGUAGUCCACACCGUAAACGAUGGAUACUAGGUGUGCGGGGACUGACCCCCUGCGUGCCGCAGUUAACACAAUAAGUAUCCCACCUGGGGAGUACGAUCGCAAGAUUGAAACUCAAAGGAAUUGGCGGGG
rnacentral:rRNA from 1 species